rnacentral:rRNA from 1 species
UACGUAGGGUGCAAGCGUUAAUCGGAAUUACUGGGCGUAAAGCGUGCGCAGGCGGUUUUGUAAGUCAGAUGUGAAAUCCCCGGGCUUAACCUGGGAACUGCGUUUGAAACUACAAGGCUAGAGUGUGACAGAGGGGGGUGGAAUUCCACGUGUAGCAGUGAAAUGCGUAGAGAUGUGGAGGAACACCGAUGGCGAAGGCAGCCCCCUGGGACUAACACUGACGCUCAGGCACGAAAGCGUGGGGAGCAAACAGG